AUACGUAGGGGGCGAGCGUUGUCCGGAAUGAUUGGGCGUAAAGGGCGCGUAGGCGGCCCGGUAAGUCUGGAGUGAAAGUCCUGUUUUUAAGAUGGGAAUUGCUUUGGAUACUGUCGGGCUUGAGUGCAGGAGAGGUAAGUGGAAUUCCCAGUGUAGCGGUGAAAUGCGUAGAGAUUGGGAGGAACACCAGUGGCGAAGGCGACUUACUGGACUGUAACUGACGCUGAGGCGCGAAAGUGUGGGGAGCAAACAGGAUUAGAUACCCUGGUAGUCCACACUGUAAACGAUGAAUGCUAGGUGUAGGGGGUAUCGACCCCUUCUGUGCCGCAGUCAACACAAUAAGCAUUCCGCCUGGGGAGUACGGCCGCAAGGUUGAGACUCAAAUGAAUUGACGGGG
rnacentral:rRNA from 1 species